UCAAAACAAAACAGAAAAAAAACUAUCGUGCCAGCAGCUGAUCGGAUGUUUCUUUGAAUUUGUAAACGCUCGGAAAUCAGUCAAUGCAAAAACCCUUGCGUAAGUAGUUGACCAUCAAAACGAUCAGGAAAAGUGCUCCGUUAUCGACCGAGAACCAUCACUACCAGAAGUCUAGGGAACUGCUUGUCCGUAGUCUGCCGUUCCAGCCUUUGGUUCUUCUAUUCAAAAGUUCUGCUGUGUUAGAUUCUCAGGAAUAUGGACAGAAAACCUGCUGUCUAAAGAAGGACCAAAAAGGGAGUUUAACUGCCAGGGUCAUUCUUCCCUACACCCUGUUACUGAUGAGCAUAAAAUCCUCCUACUAAUCCAGCACUCCUCCUACUAAUGCUGUUACAGGUGAACCAACCAGCUGCACUCGGUCUUAAACCUACUAACCUAAACUAACCAACAUCUAAGAUGCGGUUCAUAUUCAGCCGGCGUGCGGUUAUAGCGAUGGGUUCCGUCAAUAACCUCUCUUGGCAAGAACAUACCGGAACCUAACGGAUAUCUUAAGUGUUUGCAGGUCUGGCAAACGCAAGUAUUCCAGAUCCUGCAGCAUUUUUUCAAAUCGAAACAUCAUGGAGUCAGAUUUUAUGAAGGUUAUGAUUGCCAAAAUUAGACUAAUUCAUAAGAUGCAUAAUUGCAUGAGAUGCAUGGCGAUGGAAGUAUUUUUACGCAGAAGAAAGAAUGAGAAAGACCGAAAAAUAUAGAGAAAGAAAACAGUGAAGAAGAUAAGAGCUGGAAACGACUCAUUCAACAACUGCAUCUACAACUACAUCUGGGGGCAAGUGAAUUAAGCGUUGAGCUGAAAGUAGUAUUGUAGACGUAAAUCAUUCAUAACUGUAAAAAACCACAGUGUAGCAAUGUGGUGCGUGCUACAUAUCUUCCGGGAAAUGUUAAAUCGUGUUAGCUUAAAGAUAUAUCGUAUAGAUUAAUUAUAUUUGUAAUUCGUAGCAAAUCCUUUUUCGAACGUAAAAUUGUUUGUAAUAUGAAAUGAUGGAAUCUCGAUUUAUUGCUAUUCUUAUUUUGUGCUUUUGUGCAGGUAGUCGUGGCAUUCG